ensembl:lncRNA
GGCGAUAAAAAACCGAUCGGUGCCAAUGACAUUACCAAUAUGCGCUGGCUGCCGUCGGGGCAGCAUGAGUACGAGCAUUUUUUUUUAAUUAUUUUUUUUGUGCCGAUGCCCGUGAUGCCGCCCCCCAUCACGAUGCCGCCCCGGGCAACCGCCCGUGUCGCCCGUAUCUAAAACCGCUACUGAUAAUAUAAAACAAACAGCGGCUAAAAGAAAUGCCUAAACUUUCAUAUGAAUCAAGAACUCAUGUCCAGUUUCACAGCUAUGGACCAGUUAAUUAUGUUUCCAGGCCUUGUUUAGUGUGAGAGAGGCUGUGCAAGGAGGUGCUCGCAUACUGAAAGAUGGAGGGGAUGGAGGUCCUAUUCAGACUUUGCCAGCUGGCUGUUAUAUAACAAG